rnacentral:lncRNA from 1 species
AAACCGCACAUGUGAGUAGGGUCAUCAUGAGACGCAAAGGAACAGAUGGAUAGAAGUGUGGGAAUCCCGUCCAGAUACCCUGCUGGGAAAUGUGCAUGUCACGCAAGUCACUUCCUUGCUGUCUCAGCUGCUCGGCCAACAUUAUCACUGUGGAGAGAGGAACACUCGCAAAGAAGCACAAGAAUGCAGAAGCAGCAAAUGGAUGGUUCAGAGGCUGGCGCUGAUGAAGAUAACCAAUAGCCCAAUGGUAAAUAAAAUUACUCUGAGAAUGCAAA